GACCUCAAAUCAGGUAGGACUACCCGCUGAACUUAAGCAUAUCAAUAAGCGGAGGAAAAGAAACUAACAAGGAUUCCCCUAGUAACUGCGAGUGAAGCGGGAAAAGCUCAAAUUUAAAAUCUGGCAGUCUU
rnacentral:rRNA from 1 species